CCUAACACAUGCAAGUCGAGCGGUAACAUUUCUAGCUUGCUAGAAGAUGACGAGCGGCGGACGGGUGAGUAACGCGUAGAAAUCUACCUAGUAGUGGGGAUAGCCCAGAGAAAUUUGGAUUAAUACCGCAUACGCCCUACGGGGGAAAGCGGGGGAGUCUUCGGACCUCGUGCUAUUAGAUGAGUCUGCGUCGGAUUAGCUCGUUGGUGAGGUAAUGGCUCACCAAGGCGACGAUCCGUAGCUGGUCUGAGAGGAUGACCAGCCACACUGGAACUGAGACACGGUCCAGACUCCUACGGGAGGCAGCAGUGGGGAAUAUUGCACAAUGGGCGCAAGCCUGAUGCAGCCAUGCCGCGUGUGUGAAGAAGGCCUUAGGGUUGUAAAGCACUUUCAGCAGUGAGGAAAGGGGUGUCGUUAAUAGCGCCAUCCUGUGACGUUAACUGCAGAAGAAGGACCGGCUAACUCCGUG
rnacentral:rRNA from 1 species